UAAGGGUUCCUGGGUCAAGCUGAUCUGCCCAGGGUAAGUCGGGACCUAAGGCGAGGCCGACAGGCGUAGUCGAUGGACAACCGGUUGAUAUUCCGGUACCCGCUUUGAAACGCCCAAUACUGAAUCAGGCGAUGCUAAGUCCGUGAAGCCGCCCUGAGCUCUUCGGAGCGUAGGGGAGUGGUGGAGCCGACGAUCCAGACUUGUAKUAGGUAAGCGAUGGGGUGACGCAGGAAGGUAGUCCAGCCCGGGCGGUGGUUGUCCCGGGGUAAGGGUGUAGGCCGUGUGAUAGGCAAAUCCGUCACACGUUAAGGCUGAGACCUGAUGCCGAGCCGAUUGUGGUGAAGUGGAUGAUCCUAUGCUGUCGAGAAAAGCCUCUAGCGAGUUUCAUGGCGGCCCGUACCCUAAACCGACUCAGGUGGUCAGGUAGAGAAUACCGAGGCGUUCGGGUGAACUAUGGUUAAGGAACUCGGCAAAAUGCCCCCGUAACUUCGGGAGAAGGGGGGCCAUUUCCGGUGAUGGAAUUUACUUCCUGAGCUGGGGGUGGCCGCAGAGACCAGCGAGAAGCGACUGUUUACUAAAAACACAGGUCCGUGCGAAGCCGUAAGGCGAUGUAUACGGACUGACGCCUGCCCGGUGCUGGAACGUUAAGGGGACCGGUUAGC
rnacentral:rRNA from 1 species